rnacentral:lncRNA from 1 species
GCAGCUCCGAACCAGCACCUCAGGCGUGUGGUCCCUGGCCUUGGUCCGCAGCUUCCUUGGCACAGCCCUUGAGCCACAAGACACCACAUCGGGCACGGCCUUGAGAACACUGGCGCUCACCCAAGAAUGGGUCAAAGGAAACCGGAAUGAGAAGGGCGGGCCGAGGUGCUCGGGCAGGGAGAUCUCUGCCUCAGUGCUCCAGGCCCUGCCCUGCCAGCCUGGUGGAAAAGUCUUUCAUCAACCUGGGGGAUGAAGGAAACCCACCCUCCUGCAUAUCUGGCCAUCCGGGAGGCUGGCUGGACCUGAGCUGAUGGCUUGGGACUUUCCCAGGCCCAACCUGCACAAGAACUGAGUCUCUAGGGGAAAAUUCAACACCUCAAAUGAUGUAGUAUUUGAUCAUUUGUUGAUUACAUGUCCAUUCAUUGGUUUGGGGCUAUAAACAUUCUUGUUAAGAGCUGUGGAGAUCAGUGUUUGUUUACCAUAAAGAUUUUGCUUUUUCCCUUU